CUCUGAACGGGAAGCUGUGCCCGGAGCUUCUGUAGCUCUUUUCUUUUUCCUUCUCCAGGCUUCCCAUCAACCAAACACAUCUCCAGAAAGCAGGCAGCGCCAGCUUUGCCUCCCGCCGCUUUGCAGCUGCGCAGUGGCAGGGUCUUGCAUCUCUAGAGAGGAGUGCCACGCACAUGAGCACGAGGAACUUUUGACCACGGGGCUGAGGCCAGGCUUUGUUCUGAGAAGAAAACGUUCGGAGAGCUCUGUAGCAUUGCUGCAGUGGUGAGGCUGCCAGAGCUGGCUACUGCAGGCAACCCCUUCCACGUGGUUAUCAGCUUUGGCUCUGCUUUUUCACCUCCCUUUCGUUUUCAAGACACUGUCUCACUGGUCUAAUGCCCACUUCUUGGUCACUGUGAUAAAUUUCGAGGACAAAAAUCUUAAAGUCCAAUUAGAAUUUAUUUAAUUACAACGAGCAAGCAGGAUAAGAGGCAAAAAUCAGCGCUGGACGACAAGGGGGAGUCCCCGCUCCGCCCACUUGCCGCGCCCAGCCGGUCCCGGUCCCCCUCUCUUAUAGUCCGCCCACCGCCGCUGACAGGUCCCUUUCGAGGUAAACAAGCACUCUGCGCAUGUGCGUUGCUGUCGCCGAGGGGUUUCUUCCGACCCCCUGGUGAUCGCUGGGCGGGAAACCUCUCAGGGAGAGAGGAUUGGGUUAAGGCCUGUGAAUUUAAAGGAGAAUGGGACUGACAGCUCCCCAUGUCACCUCCCUCCCAUUGGCCAUCAUGGGAUGCCAGGUGCUGGAACAUGUCCAGAGAAGGGCAACAAAGCUGAAUUCUGGAGGUUUCCACAAGCCCUCUGUACACAGCAACGUGCUCGUGACUAUG